AGUGGUCGGCUCUGGUCUUCAUCUUACUGUCAUCAGAUCUGGAUGAGUUCGACCUGAAGAAAUACUCUGGUUCAGAGAAGGCAUUUUUGAAGCUGCUGCCAGUGGUCAAAGCAUCCAAGAAAGUGCUGCUGAGAUAUUGCAAACUCUCAGAAAGAAUCGUUGAAGCUUUGUCUGAAAUUCUCAGCUCCUCAUCCAAUCAUCUGAGAGAGCUGGAACUGAGCUGGAACAAGCUGCAGGAUUCAGAAUUGGAUUUGCUGUGUGUUGGACUAAAGAGUCCUCACUGUAAACUUGAAACUCUCAGGAGCUGCCCUCAGAUUCAGACCUCAGCACCACCCAGUGACAGCAGACAGAUCAUCCUAUAGCUUCACUCUUUGUAGUAACUCCAUAAUGAACUGAUGAAAACAGUACAAAGGUUAAA